UUCGCAAUGCCCGAAAGGGUGACUAUGCGACGCCGCGUGCGCGAUGAAGGUCUUCGGAUUGUAAAGCCCUGUCUCCUGGGAAGAAUGGCGGGAGGUGAAUAGCCAUCUCGUCUGACGCUACCAGGGAAGGAAGCACCGGCUAAAUACGUGCCAGCAGCCGCGGUAAUACGUAUGGUGCGAACGUUGUUCGGAAUCACUGGGCAUAAAGAGCACGUAGGCGGUUGAGCAAGUCCAUUGUGAAAUCCCCCGGCUUAACCGGGGAACUGCUGUGGAUACUACUUGACUUGAGUGCGGGAGGGGAGAGUGGAAUUCCAGGUGGAGCGGUGAAAUGCGUAGAUAUCAGAAGGAACGCCGGCGGCGAAAGCGGCUCUCUGGCCCAUAACUGACGCUGAGUGUGCGAAAGCUAGGGGAGCAAACGGGAUUAGAUACCCCGGUAGUCCUAGCCCUAAACGAUGGGCACUAAGUAGAGGGGUU
rnacentral:rRNA from 1 species